rnacentral:lncRNA from 1 species
GUUUCUCUUAUGUUGUGGGGAUUUCGUUCAUACAAUCGGAAAAAUGUUUAUUAUAGGGUAAGGAACAAUUUUUUGACUUCAUAAUCAGUCUAAGACACUUAAUAAGGGUUAUAUAAGUGUUAUUCAAACCGCAAAACGUUGUUUUCGGUUUAAAACCCCUAUUUCCUCGGAAUUUCCUCGGAAUAUUCCUUGGGAAUUCCGAGGAAAACAAAUUCCUCGGUAUUUCUUUAAAAAAAAAAAAAAAAAUCAAUGGUAGUCUGUUUCCG